rnacentral:rRNA from 1 species
GAUGAACGCUGGCGGCGUGCUUAACACAUGCAAGUCGAACGGAACUGUUUGAAUGAAGUUUUCGGAUGGAUUUUAAACAGUUUAGUGGCGGACGGGUGAGUAACGCGUGGGUAACCUGCCUCACACUGGGGGAUAACAGUUAGAAAUAGCUGCUAAUACCGCAUAAGCGCACGGCUCCGCAUGGAGCAGUGUGAAAAACUCCGGUGGUAUAAGAUGGACCCGCGUCUGAUUAGCUGGUUGGUGGGGUAACGGCCCACCAAGGCGACGAUCAGUAGCCGGCCUGAGAGGGUGAACGGCCACAUUGGGACUGAGACACGGCCCAG